GUGCCAGCAGCCGCGGUAAGACGAACCGUGCGAACGUUGUUCGGAAUCACUGGGCUUAAAGGGCGCGUAGGCGGGCCACCAAGUCCGCGGUGAAAUCCUCCGGCUUAACCGGAGAAGUGCCGCGGAUACUGGGGGCCUCGAGGGAGGUAGGGGCGUGCGGAACACUGGGUGGAGCGGUGAAAUGCGUUGAUAUCCAGUGGAACUCCGGUGGCGAAGGCGGCACGCUGGACCUCAUCUGACGCUGAGGCGCGAAAGCCAGGGGAGCGAACGGGAUUAGAUACCCCCGUAGUCC
rnacentral:rRNA from 1 species